rnacentral:rRNA from 1 species
UACGAAGGGUGCUAGCGUUGUUCGGAAUUACUGGGCGUAAAGCGCGCGCAGGCGGUCUUCCAAGUCAGUGGUGAAAGCCCGGAGCUCAACUCCGGAACUGCCAUUGAAACUGUUGGACUUGAGUACGAGAGAGGUGAGUGGAAUUCCCAGUGUAGAGGUGAAAUUCGUAGAUAUUCGGAAGAACACCAGUGGCGAAGGCGGCUCACUGGCCCGAUACUGACGCUGAGGCACGAAAGCGUGGGGAGCAAACAGG